UACGGAGGGUGCGAGCGUUGUCCGGAAUCACUGGGCGUAAAGGGCGCGUAGGCGGCUCAUGAAGGCUGUGGUGAAAGUCCGGGGCUCAACCUCGGAUCGGCCGUGGCGACUCGUGGGCUGGAGCACUGUAGAGGCAGGUGGAAUUCCGGGUGUAGCGGUGGAAUGCGUAGAGAUCCGGAAGAACACCGGUGGCGAAGGCGGCCUGCUGGGCAGUGGCUGACGCUGAGGCGCGACAGCGUGGGGAGCAAACAGG
rnacentral:rRNA from 1 species